GCAACAACGCUAGUCGUGUCGUUAGUGCAGUGUGAAUUUUACGUGUCGUGUUUUGUGGACGGAUUUUUGUUUCUCGGAUGUGUUCGGAUUACGUUUAUUUGAUUACAUACGCUAGAUGAGAAAUCGAAGCAAAUGUAUAAAAUUGACGACCAUGCAACGAACAUAUGAGCCGAAAUGGCGGCGGAAUUUAAACGAACGUUAAAGCUGCGCGGGCGCAGGGAUGAUUCGGAAUUCGAAAAUAGAAUGCGCAGGAAGCUGGGAUGGGCCGGGCCGGAUGUGUGCAUUUGGAUCCUGCUGUCUGCGACCUUUUUUGUCGGUUGUCAUGGUUACCAGGAGCAGAGAUUUGCAAUGGAGCCACAGGAUCAGAGUGCAGUCGUGGGCUCCCGCGUGACGUUACCGUGUCGUGUCGAACACAAAGUCGGCAGCCUGCAGUGGACCAAGGACGAUUUCGGUCUUGGCACACAUCGGAACCUCAGUGGCUACGAGCGAUACUCCAUGAUCGGCAGCGACGAGGAAGGCGAUUACUCAUUAGAUAUAAAAGAUAUCACGUUGGAAGACGAUGGCUUGUAUCAAUGCCAAGUUAGUUCCGGUCUUAAUGGUGUGCCGGCUAUACGAUCGAGAUACGCAAAAGUUACAGUGUUGGUCGCACCGGAGCCGCCUCGUAUAUUACAAGGAGCUUUUAUCGAUGCGAUUGAAGAUCAACCUGUUGAUAUUGAGUGUGUAUCCGAAGGCGGAAAGCCAGCAUCCGAAAUAACUUGGGUAGAUGGAAGUCAGAAUGUUAUCAAGAAUAACGUUGAAAGCAGAGUUGAAAUGUUACCAGACGAACAAAGAUAUAUAACUAGAUCGGUUUUGCGGUUGAUACCUAACAAGCUACACCACAAUCAGACAAUAACGUGUCAAGCGCAGAACACAGCGGACAGGGCGUACAGGAUGGCCACAGUACAUAUUGAGGUAAAAUACGCUCCAAAGAUAAACGUUUCCAUUGUAUCCGGUGCUGUAAAUAAGAGAAUACCGGAAGGCAGUGAAGCACGGUUUCUAUGUUCGGUUGACGCAAAUCCUCCUGCACAAAUGUACCGAUGGUAUCUGAACAACAACCCAAUAGUUGGUGAUUACGAGGAAGAAUUGAUUAUAUUCAAUGUCACCCGCAAACACAAUAAGGCUGUACUGAAGUGUGAAGUUAGUAAUACAGCUGGGAAGAGCGAGUCUACUCUUGCUUUGAACGUAACUUAUCCGCCAUCGUUCCGAACUCAUCCACAAAAUGUGGAGGCAGCGGUCGGCGCGAGUGUUACUUUGAGUUGUGACGUCGACGGACAACCGCAGCCUGAAAUACGCUGGCUGUUCCACGAGCCGGGAAGAAUAGGGCAGGUCAAAGGGAAGGCACCGAACCUCAAAGUGUACGUGGACGAGCGUACAGCCGGACGAUACAUCUGUAAAGCAACUGUUAGUGGAUAUCCGGAGAUUGAAAGUGAAGCCACUAUAUUUAUUAAAGGUGCACCCAAGAUUAUUUCAAACAGAACCCAAGCUGGUUCCGAAGGCGAUAAGGUGACAGUUGAAUGUGAAGCUCUCUCGGUACCAAGACCUGAUGAUAUCAGGUGGUACUUUGAAGGGAAAGAAAUCAGCGUUAUACAGGAUCCAGACUUUGCGACAUUGGAAGAAACAUUACCAAACGGUAUUGUGAAGUCGAGUCUCGUGAUCCGAGAUAGCCAAUCUAAACACUACGGCGUAUACAAUUGUAGUGUUACAAAUGAAUAUGGAAACGCUAAUGCUGCUAUUACACUCAAACCGUUGAAAACAUUACCGCUGUUCAUAAUUCUAAUAGGCGUGACGUCUGGGAUUAUAAUAUUCUCGUCAUUCGUGAUACUCGUCGUAGUGUGUCACAGGAAACGAAGGAAGAAUCAGAAGAUAAACGAAAAACCGGACGUGACAGUCACUUCCGGUGACAUGUAUAAAGAGAGUGACCGGAGUUCGAACAUAAGUGACUUGAAGUUACAGUUACCUCAAACCGAUGAAAGUUACGACUUGGAGUAUACAAGUUCCGAUCGCUCGGAUACAAAGAAUCCUGCCGGUCUCCCUCUCGCGGGACCGGUCCCGCUACCAAACAUACGCCACGACGAUCCGAUGCUGCAAUUUAGAUACAGCAAUGAUUAUUCAGAUCCAACAUACGCGGAUACUUAUUUUAAGAACCCAGCCGCUUACGUGUACGACUACCCACAAGGGUACGUGCCUCCCCCACACUUGAGGGUUCAAUCUCCGACACUCGAAGUACCAACUAGCAGGUCCCUUCAAGGUUCAUUGACGCGUAGUAUAGACACGUCGUCAACGCUUCCGUUGUCAGCCGGUAACGGAUCGCAGAACAAUUCGUUGCAACGAACGAAAACUGACGAAACUGACGCUAUUAAUAAUUUAGGCUUACCUGUUGGUGGCGAAGCACCACAAGUGCCCGUUUACACCCAGUCUGGGGGUAAAAAUCAAAGCGGGGUCGACUUAAGAUACGCAGCGACGUACGGAAAUCCCUACCUUAGAAAUGGUACAAUGAGUUAUUCAAACCAAGUUCAUACCGCGAAGCCGGCUUCUACGCCUGCUCCGCCGCCAUACUCCGCAGUGCGAAGCUCAGUUCAUCUCCCAGGUUAGCACCGACUGCUUAGCUUCAAACUUACCUUAUAGGAUUUCAACUCUGAUAAUACUUAAAAAUAAUUGUAACGCACCGACGACGUUAGCCACGCAUGUGUAGCGUUAACGAAGUGUAAAAAUAUAAUAAUAAUUGUAUAAAAAAAAAAUGGACUAAUUUCUAUACAACCGUGUUAAAUUAAACACUUGUAAUAUAUAACGUUCCUAAAUAAAUAUUACGACUGAGAUGUAAAUAGAAUAUAGGUUAGGUGUACAAAGUGAAAUAAGGACAGUUACACGCGAGCGACAGUAAAUAUUUUUUUAAUUUAAAUUAUUUAAC